rnacentral:rRNA from 1 species
UACGAGGGGGGCGAGCGUUGUUCGGAAUUAUUGGGCGUAAAGGGUGCGUAGGCGGUUCCGCAAGUCCUGUGUGAAAUCUUCGGGCUUAACUCGAAGCCUGCACGGGAAACUGCGGGGCUUGAGUGUGGGAGAGGUGAGUGGAAUUCCCGGUGUAGCGGUGAAAUGCGUAGAUAUCGGAAGGAACACCUGUGGCGAAAGCGGCUCACUGGACCAUUACUGACGCUGAGGCACGAAAGCUAGGGGAGCAAACAGG